GUAGGGAAUCUUGCGCAAUGGGCGAAAGCCUGACGCAGCCAUGCCGCGUGAAUGAUGAAGGUCUUAGGAUUGUAAAAUUCUUUCACCGGGGACGAUAAUGACGGUACCCGGAGAAGAAGCUCCGGCUAACUUCGUGCCAGCAGCCGCGGUAAUACGAAGGGGGCUAGCGUUGCUCGGAAUUACUGGGCGUAAAGGGCGCGUAGGCGGACAGCUUAGUCAGAGGUGAAAGCCCAGGGCUCAACCUUGGAAUUGCCUUUGAUACUGGCUGUCUUGAGUUUGGGAGAGGUGAGUGUAACUCCGAGUGUAGAGGUGAAAUUCGUAGAUAUUCGGAAGAACACCAGUGGCGAAGGCGACUCACUGGCCCAAUACUGACGCUGAGGCGCGAAAGCGUGGGGAGCAAACAGGAUUAGAAACCCCAGUAGUCC
rnacentral:rRNA from 1 species